GAGUUUGAUCCUGGCUCAGAUUGAACGCUGGCGGCAUGCCUUACACAUGCAAGUCGAACGGCAGCACGGGAGCUUGCUCCUGGUGGCGAGUGGCGAACGGGUGAGUAAUGCAUCGGAACGUAUCCUGGAGUGGGGGAUAACGUAGCGAAAGUUACGCUAAUACCGCAUAUUCUGUGAGCAGGAAAGCGGGGGACCUUCGGGCCUCGCGCUCUUGGAGCGGCCGAUGUCGGAUUAGCUAGUUGGUGAGGUAAAGGCUCACCAAGGCGACGAUCCGUAGCAGGUCUGAGAGGAUGAUCUGCCACACUGGAACUGAGACACGGUCCAGACUCCUACGGGAGGCAGCAGUGGGAAUUUUGGACAAUGGGGGCAACCCUGAUCCAGCCAUGCCGCGUGAGUGAAGAAGGCCUGG
rnacentral:rRNA from 1 species